rnacentral:rRNA from 1 species
AGUCGAGCGCCCCGCAAGGGGAGCGGCAGACGGGUGAGUAACACGUGGGAAUCUACCCAUCCCUGCGGAACAACUCCGGGAAACUGGAGCUAAUACCGCAUACGCCCUUCGGGGGAAAGAUUUAUCGGGGAUGGAUGAGCCCGCGUUGGAUUAGCUAGUUGGUGGGGUAAAGGCCUACCAAGGCGACGAUCCAUAGCUGGUCUGAGAGGAUGAUCAGCCACAUUGGGACUGAGACACGGCCCAAACUCCUACGGGAGGCAGCAGUGGGGAAUAUUGGACAAUGGGCGCAAGCCUGAUCCAGCCAUGCCGCGUGAGUGAUGAAGGCCUUAGGGUUGUAAAGCUCUUUCACCGAUGAAGAUAAUGACGGUAGUCGGAGAAGAAGCCCCGGCUAACUUCGUGCCAGCAGCCGCGGUAAUACGAAGGGGGCUAGCGUUGUUCGGAAUUACUGGGCGUAAAGCGCACGUAGGCGGAUAUUUAAGUCAGGGGUGAAAUCCCGCAGCUCAACUGCGGAACUGCCUUUGAUACUGGGUAUCUUGAGUAUGGAAGAGGUUAGUGGAAUUGCGAGUGUAGAGGUGAAAUUCGUAGAUAUUCGCAGGAACACCAGUGGCGAAGGCGGCUAACUGGUCCAUAACUGACGCUGAGGUGCGAAAGCGUGNGAGCAAACAGGAUUAGAUACCCUGGUAGUCCACGCCGUAAACGAUGAAUGUUAGCCGUCGGCAAGUUUACUUGUCGGUGGCGCAGCUAACGCAUUAAACAUUCCGCCUGGGGAGUACGGUCGCAAGAUUAAAACUCAAAGGAAUUGACGGGGGCCCGCACAAGCGGUGGAGCAUGUGGUUUAAUUUUCGAAGCAACGCGCAGAACCUUACCAGCCCUUGACAUGUCCGGCUCACCACAGAGAUGUGGUUUUCCCCU